AUGGACACGUGCAUACAUGUUUGGUUGGAUGCUUUUGAGGGAGAAAAUAAGAAGAAAAUUUUUGUCGGAAUAGCGGCACUAAUCUGGAGCAUUUGGAAAACUAGAAACUCAGCGUGCUUUCAACAUGUCUGGCCUAAUGACCCAAGUGUAAUGAUGUUUAGAAUGUCACAUUGGAUUAAUGAUUGGAGUUGCUUGCAGGUGAGGGAGGACGCAAAAGUGGAGCUGCAACGGGGCGCAAAGCUGCUGGACCGAGUCGCUAGUGAUCUUUUCCAAUCAAGACGAGGAUGGGCGACUUGGGUGCCAAGACUGGAGGAGGGUUGA
rnacentral:rRNA from 1 species